rnacentral:rRNA from 1 species
GACGAACGCUGGCGGCGUGCCUAAUACAUGCAAGUAGAACGCUGAAGGAGGAGCUUGCUUCUCUGGAUGAGUUGCGAACGGGUGAGUAACGCGUAGGUAACCUGCCUGGUAGCGGGGGAUAACUAUUGGAAACGAUAGCUAAUACCGCAUAACAGUAGAUGUUGCAUGACAUUUGCUUAAAAGGUGCAAUUGCAUCACUACCAGAUGGACCUGCGUUGUAUUAGCUAGUUGGUGGGGUAACGGCUCACCAAGGCGACGAUACAUAGCCGACCUGAGAGGGUGAUCGGCCACACUGGGACUGAGACACGGCCCAGACUCCUACGGGAGGCAGCAGUAGGGAAUCUUCGUGCAAUGGACGGAAGUUUGACCGAGCAACGCCGCGUGAGUGAAGAAGGUUUUCGGAUCGUAAAGCUCUGUUGUAAGAGAAGAACGGGUGUGAGAGUGGAAACG